AAGGCCACCACCAGGAGUGGAGCCUGCGGCUUAAUUUGCUCAACACGGGAAAACUCUCCCGGCCCGGACACCGUGCGGAUUGACCGAUUGAGAGCUCUUUCUUAAGUCGUGGGGUGUGGAUGCAUGGCCGUUCUUAGUUGAGGGAGCAAUUUGUCUGGUUAAUUCCCAUAAUCCACGAUCCUCAGGCCUAUUAAAUCUGCGGUGUAUCGCUCAGUAGUCCGUACUUCUUACAGGUCAAAGCGGCGUCUAGCCCCAUGAUAUUGAGCAAUAACAGGUCUGUGAUGACCUUAGAUGUCCGGCACUGCACGGCCACUACCCUGAAAGAGUCAGAGUGCCUCGCCGCUUACGCCGGAAGGACUGCUCCUCCCCCCUGACUUCUUUCCUGCUUGCGAUACUGAAUUGCAAUUAUUUCACUUGAACGAGGACUUCCCAGAUAGCGUGCGUUAUAAGCUCGCGUUGAUUUCGUCCCUGCCCUUGUGUACACACCUGCCGUUACUACUACCGAUUGCACCAUUCUCG
rnacentral:rRNA from 1 species